UACGAAGGGGGCGAGCGUUGUUCGGAAUUACUGGGCGUAAAGGGCGCGCAGGCGGCGCGAGAAGUCAGGCGUGAAAGCCCCGGGCUCAACCUGGGAAUUGCGCUUGAUACUCUUGUGCUGGAGUUCGGGAGAGGAGAGUGGAAUUCCCAGUGUAGAGGUGAAAUUCGUAGAUAUUGGGAAGAACACCGGUGGCGAAGGCGGCUCUCUGGACCGAGACUGACGCUGAGGCGCGAAAGCGUGGGGAGCAAACAGGG
rnacentral:rRNA from 1 species